UCCAAGCCGUAAAUUAUGCAUGCUAGAUGUUUUGGACCCUUGUGGUCUGGAGUGUCGUAAUCUAACUAGUUAAGCAUGCCGCCUGGGUAGUAUACUCGCAAGAGUGAAACUCAAAGGGAUAGGCGGGGGAACACACAAGCAGUGGAUUGUCUAGAUUAAUUGGAUAAUAAGCCAAGAAUCUUACCUAGAUUUGACAUAUAUUAUGUCCUAUGUGAAAGCAUAGUAGUCCGAG
rnacentral:rRNA from 1 species